UUAGCUUGCUAAGUUUGAUGGCGACCGGCGCACGGGUGAGUAACACGUAUCCAACCUACCCUUUACUCGGGGAUAGCCUUUCGAAAGAAAGAUUAAUACCCGAUAGCAUAAUGAUUCCGCAUGGUUUCAUUAUUAAAGGAUUCCGGUAAAGGAUGGGGAUGCGUUCCAUUAGGUUGUUGGCGGGGUAACGGCCCACCAAGCCUUCGAUGGAUAGGGGUUCUGAGAGGAAGGUCCCCCCACAUUGGAACUGAGACACGGUCCAAACUCCUACGGGAGGCAGCAUG
rnacentral:rRNA from 1 species